rnacentral:lncRNA from 10 species
CAGAAACACAUUUCAGUUUGAAAUUGUACCCAGGCUGCACCCUCCCUCUCCGACGUUAGGGUGCACCCACUCUUCUCAGGCCCAAUCAGGCAGCGAUGUGCCUUGCAUCCAGACAAGGAGUAAAUAUCAUUCUGGAGCCCUCAGUGAAUAUCAUUCUGGAGUAAUAGCUUCUUCAUAAUAAGGACUUACAAGUAACUCAUUACCUCCUCACCAGCCAAAAAUACUCAUUUCUCCAGGGCACAUCUACAAGACGACUAUCCAUUCUGGAUUUCCCCACCCUUAACUAUGAGCUCUGCUGUCUUGGUGGCUAAUGUCCUGGUGUGAUGCAGACCAUCCGUAAAGGAUCUGAGCCCUUGGUCACCAUGUCCUUCUCAGUGGGAGUUGCUGAACUUACCCACUUGCCAAUAGAGAUGAGCAAAGGAGUGCCCAAAAGCACCUAUGUGGAUCACUUGGCAUGUGUGUCUUAACUGAAGCCUCCAGUUGCAUCUUGCUCAUCCAGUCCAACUCAUCCAGCCUGAUUAGCACAGUAUCAUCGAGCUACUGAAUCCAUGUGAUGUUUUGUAAACGAAGAUUGCUUCAGACUCUGUCAUGAUGGAGGGCAUAAAAGAACACAACCCGGGACAACACUGUAAAACUAUGUUAGUGUAUCACUGCCCAUUCCAUGUGCAUGUGAACUCUUUAUGAUCCUCUUUUUGAUCAGAAUAGAAAGAACAUAUUCACCAAAUUAGGAGCUGCAUACGAUGUAUCUGAGGCCAUGUUAAUCUGCCGUAGCAAAGAGGCCAGAACAGGCACAGGAGCUGCAAUUAGGGAUAGUAGUGGGUUGGCUUUGGGGUAGUCUACUGUUAUCCUCCCAGAAUCUGGGUUCUUCCGGCACAAGACUGGUGACUUCAAUGAAGAAGUGAUGGGCAUCUCCCCGCUACCCACUCACUCAUUCUCUAGAUUAGGGCUGGCAAGCUAUGAGCUGACCUGUUUUAUAAAUAAAAGUUUUUUGG